UACGUAGGGGGCUAGCGUUGUCCGGAUUUAUUGGGCGUAAAGAGCGUGUAGGCGGCCAGGUAGGUCUGCUGUGAAAACUCGAGGCUCAACCUCGAGACGUCGGCGGAAACCUCUGGCUAGAGUCCGGGAGAGGAGGGUGGAAUUCCCAGUGUAGCGGUGAAAUGCGUAGAUAGUUGGGAGGAACACCGGUGGCGAAGGCGGCCCUCUGGACCGGUACUGACGCUGAUGCGCGAAAGCGUGGGGAGCAAACGGG
rnacentral:rRNA from 1 species